rnacentral:rRNA from 1 species
GUUUGAUCAUGGCUCAGGACGAACGCUGGCGGCGUGCCUAACACAUGCAAGUCGAGCGGGGAUAUACGGAAGGUUUACCGGAAGUAUAUCCUAGCGGCGGACGGGUGAGUAACGCGUGGGUAACCUACCUCAUACAGGGGGAUAACACAGGGAAACCUGUGCUAAUACCGCAUAACAUAACGGGGCGGCAUCGUCCUGUUAUCAAAGGAGAAAUCCGGUAUGAGAUGGGCCCGCGUCCGAUUAGCUAGUUGGUGAGGUAACGGCUCACCAAGGCGACGAUCGGUAGCCGAACUGAGAGGUUGGUCGGCCACAUUGGGACUGAGACACGGCCCAGACUCCUACGGGAGGCAGCAGUGGGGAAUAUUGCGCAAUGGGGGAAACCCUGACGCAGCAACGCCGCGUGAAGGAAGAAGGCCUUCGGGUUGUAAACUUCUUUGAUUGGGGACGAAGGAAGUGACGGUACCCAAAGAACAAGCCACGGCUAACUACGUGCCAGCAGCCGCGGUAAUACGUAGGUGGCGAGCGUUGUCCGGAAUUACUGGGUGUAAAGGGCGCGUAGGCGGGGAUGCAAGUCAGAUGUGAAAUUCCGGGGCUUAACCCCGGCGCUGCAUCUGAAACUGUAUCUCUUGAGUGCUGGAGAGGAAAGCGGAAUUCCUAGUGUAGCGGUGAAAUGCGUAGAUAUUAGGAGGAACACCAGUGGCGAAGGCGGCUUUCUGGACAGUAACUGACGCUGAGGCGCGAAAGCGUGAGGAGCAAACAGGAUUAGAUACCCUGGUAGUCCACGCCGUAAACGAUGGAUACUAGGUGUAGGAGGUAUCGACCCCUUCUGUGCCGGAGUUAACACAAUAAGUAUCCCACCUGGGAGUACGGCCGCAAGGUUGAAACUCAAAUGAAUUGACGG